GGAAUUUUGCGCAAUGGGGGGAACCCUGACGCAGCAACGCCGCGUGACCGAAGAAGCCCUUCGGGGUGUAAAGGUCUGUCAGUGGGGACGAAGAAUGACGGUACCCACAGAGGAAGCAUCGGCUAACUCCGUGCCAGCAGCCGCGGUAAUACGGGGGAUGCAAGCGUUGUCCGGAAUCAUUGGGCGUAAAGAGUUCGUAGGUGGGUUGUUAAGUUAGGUGUUAAAUUCCGAGGCUCAACUUCGGUAUGGCACUUGAUACUGGCAGACUUGAAUGCGGCAGAGGUAAAGGGAAUUCCUGGUGUAGCGGUGAAAUGCUUAGAUAUCAGGAAGAACAUCGGUGGCGUAAGCGCUUUACUGGGCCGUAAUUGACGCUGAGGAACGAAAGCCGGGGUAGCAAAUG
rnacentral:rRNA from 1 species